rnacentral:rRNA from 1 species
CCUACGGGCGGCAGCAGUGAGGAAUAUUGGUCAAUGGGCGAGAGCCUGAACCAGCCAAGUCGCGUGAAGGAUGACGGCCCUACGGGUUGUCAACUUCUUUUGUCAGGGAGCACUUGAGUCCACGUGUGGGCUUAGCGAGAGUACCUGAAGAAAAAGCAUCGGCUAACUCCGUGCCAGCAGCCGCGGUAAUACGGAGGAUGCGCGCGUUAUCCGGAUUUAUUUGGUUUAAAGGGUGCGUAGGCGGAAUAUCAAGUCAGCGGUAAAAAUUCGGGGCUCAACCCCGUCGUGCCGUUGAAACUGAUGUUCUUGAGUGGGCGAGAAGUAUGCGGAAUGCGUGGUGUAGCGGUGAAAUGCAUAGAUAUCACGCAGAACUCCGAUUGCGAAGGCAGCAUACCGGCGCCCAACUGACGCUGAAGCACGAAAGCGUGGGUAUCGAACAGGAUUAGAUACCCCUGUAGUC